GCUAAACAGCUAGCCCACCCAAAAACCUAACAUUAACUAUCAAUACCUCUUAAUACUCUUUAACCAAAAAAACAAAACAUUUUUCCACCCUAGUACGGGCGACGGAAAAGGAACUAGGAGCGAUAGAGAAAGUACCGCAAGGGAAAGCUGAAAGAGAAAUGAAACAACCCAGUAAAGCCAAAAAAAGCAGAGACAAGACCUCGUAUUU
rnacentral:rRNA from 1 species